AGAGUUUGAUCCUGGCUCAGAUUGAACGCUGGCGGCAUGCCUUACACAUGCAAGUCGAACGGCAGCACGGGGGCAACCCUGGUGGCGAGUGGCGAACGGGUGAGUAAUACAUCGGAACGUGUCCUGUAGUGGGGGAUAGCCCGGCGAAAGCCGGAUUAAUACCGCAUACGAUCUACGGAAGAAAGCGGGGGAUCGCAAGACCUCGCGCUAUAGGGGCGGCCGAUGGCAGAUUAGCUAGUUGGUGGGGUAAAGGCCUACCAAGGCGACGAUCUGUAGCUGGUCUGAGAGGACGACCAGCCACACUGGGACUGAGACACGGCCCAGACUCCUACGGGAGGCAGCAGUGGGGAAUUUUGGACAAUGGGGGAAACCCUGAUCCAGCAAUGCCGCGUGUGUGAAGAAGGCCUUCGGGUUUGUAAAGCACUUUUGUCCGGAAAGAAAACUUUCUGCCCCUAAUACGGUGGGAGGAUGACGGUACCGGAAGAAUAAGCACCGGCUAACUACGUGCCAGCAGCCGCGGUAAUACGUAAGGGUGCGAGCGUUAAUUCGGGAAAUUACUGGGCCGUAAA
rnacentral:rRNA from 1 species